rnacentral:rRNA from 1 species
UUUAACCUCAAAUCAGGUAGGAUUACCCGCUGAACUUAAGCAUAUCAAUAAGCGGAGGAAAAGAAACUAACAAGGAUUCCCCUAGUAACUGCGAGUGAAGCGGGAAGAGCUCAAAUUUAAAAUCUGGCGGUUCUCUGGGCUGUCCGAGUUGUAAUCUAGAGAA